GAAUUUGCGUGGUAACAAAUUAACUUAUCUGAAACAAGGUGUCUUCAAUGGUUUGAAAAAUCUUGAAACGUUAAAUCUGGAAAAUAAUGAGCUAAGGACCUACAAUCCUGAUAUAUUUGAUGGACUCACUUCCCUUAAAACUUUAUUAUCGGAUGAGUUCAGCAUCUGCUGCAUUAUGAAACGUGUUCCCGACUGCCGUCCGACUACUGAUCAAUUUUCAUCUUGUAAAGAUCUCUUGAAGAGGGAAGCUUUGCGGAUCCUGAUGAUGAUUCUUGGAAUUACUGCCCUCAUCGGCAACUUAGCUGUUAUUAUAUUGCGCUUGCUGGAAAACGACUUUAAUGUCCAAUCCAUACUCAUAACUAAUCUUGCAGUAUCUGAUUUACUGAUGGCGGUUUACAUGAUAAUCAUAGCAGGAGUGGAUCUUUACUACAGGGGGGUGUACGCGACGUUUGCAGAGGCUUGGAAAACCAGUUUCCUUUGCAGUUUCGCCGGCUCUAUCUCCACAUUAUCAAGCGAAUGCUCGGUAUUCAUCUUGAUGCUUAUGAGUGUUGACCGUGCAGUUAACAUAGCUUAUCCGUUCAGUAGCAACCU